UCUCACUGUUUGUCUGGAUGCUGCCAUGGCAAUCUGGGCCAAAGCAUUUAAUUAUGAUUCAACAUCCAUUACAAAUAAAUCAAGUUUCCAGCUCAAUGCCCAGUAGGUGUACCUAAUAAAGUGGCCAGAGUUCCGGUAAAGUUCAGGUUCUGUUGGGUUCAGCUGUGAGAUGAUUGUGAAGGAAACCAAAAAACUGAACCGGUUUAAAAAAAAGCAUCUUCAUCACCAAAACCAGAAGGGAAAGAUUUGAGACCAGACUGAGAGAAACAGGAAGCAGCUGGAUAAAGAUUUAAAGCUUCCUGAGAUUUAAGAGGCAGAUUAGUGAAGUCUGGGUGUGUCUCUGUGCCCACUGUGUGUGUGUGUGUGUGCUCAGUAAAACACACACACAAACACACACACACACACUGGUGCUUCAUGGAAAACUGAACAUAAAGCAGCAGUUUGAUCUCUGUUUGCUCCUCAGGUUGCUUUUCUACAGAAUGGAUUGUUUUUACCAGCAGUGUGCCAAAAGAUUGAUUCAGAAUCAUUAUAACAUCCUAAUAUUCAUUUUUAAAAAAUGAAACAAACUGCCUCUCCGUCGGCUUCCAUCUUGUAACUAAGCGGGAGUUUUGGCGUUGCCAUGGUGACGGUACUGAAACGUACGUGUGGCAGAAAGAAAUGGAGGAAGUGAAAGAAAUUCAAGCGGCUCUUUUUCGUUGAAGGAAAAUAUUUGGACUCUUUUUGGUUUUUACCUGAAUUCCUGGGAAGAAAACUGAGCUGGACACGAGAUUCACCGAGUUCAAAGUUCACAAAAUGAAGACGGAGAACUACAGGAACACCGCUAAUCCACGGAGCUAGUGAAGCUACAGCGGAGCCAAGCUACGCAGUUCCCUCCGGUACAGAACUCUGAGAGCCGGGCUGUGAUUGGUUGGAAAGUUGUGGGCGGAGCUUGUGAAGAAACGUUGAUAUUUUGUUUUCACUAUCUUCUUUCUGUAUCUGCAGGCGACAUAAAUAUUUUUAAGAAACGUUUAUCAGACAUGAUGUUAAAUUUUGAAUAUUUUUUUACGAUUUUUCACUGAAUAACUCCAAACACUGUCAGAUGGAUUAAAACUCCUGGGUGGAAAUUUAAACGCUCUCUGCAGAAAGGUGGCGCUCUCUGUCUGUGACGCUUUGUUAAAACAAAAUGGAGGAUCCAGAUAGGAAUUUACUUUAAGCAUGGAUUAAUAUUUAAAACACUUUAAUGUCUCCAUGUGUCGUUCAGAUCUGCUCCAGUCUGACAGAUCCUUAUAAUCUACCAUGAGGAUCCUUUGAUCACAGAUCAACUGAAGCAGAAAUUAAGAAUCAGUUUGAAUCGAAUCGUGAGUUGGUAAAAUAUUCCCACCCCUGGCUUAUAGUGUGUGUGUGUGUGUGUUUUGUCUCCAUUAUUUCCAUCCAGUCUGUGUUUUCUUCUCUUUGUUGGUUUUUACACCUUUCCUCCUCCAGGUGAGCUGCUGUUAAACUUCUAACAAAAUGAAAGCAGAACUCGACUUUUCCUUUAGACUGUUAGUUCAUAACAAGUUAAAGCUGUCUUAUUAAAAGCUCAUGGAUGCUCUGUUACAGCCAUUAAUUCACCAGCAAAUUAAUUAAAAUCCUAAAAUUAGUAAAUCCACGUGCAUGUUGACCUACCAUGGUGGUUAUGUAACCACUUCCCUGCUUCAACAUAUUCAUUUAAUCUGUGAAGCAGCAGCAGUGACUCAGUUUGCUGAUGAUGUUCCCACCAGGUCUCUGCUUCCUGUCUGUCCAGAUGACCUCCAAACGACCUCAUGACUCAUAAACCAUAAACACAAACAUGUCCAGCUCUAAGCAGCUCCGUUACAUUUAAAAGAUAUGAUUUUAUAUCCGUACAUAUUUCAUAUCAGCUCUGGGACCAGAUAAACUCAGGGGCCAUUUUGUUUUUAGAAACUCAAAAUAAUUUUGUGAUUUUUUUUAUGCUCAUCAAUAAAUUAAACAAAAUAUUUUAGUGAAACAAACAUUUUGGGUAAUUCAGUUUAUUUUGGCACAAAAAAUAUUUUUAUUCCCAAACAACAAAAAUGAGAACUUUGUUCAAAAACGUUAAAGUAACCAAAAUUAAAAGAAAACAUGGCUAGUAAAAUAAAAAUACUUUGUGCCUAACACUUUCCAUGAAGGAAGAAUUAAAUGUGAAACUCUAAAAAGUUCCCAGGAGAGGGCCAAAUUUGUAAUUCUUGAACUGCAGUCUGGGGCCUCACAGAAUUAUUAAAAGGGGCCACCAUUGGCCCUGGGCCACACUUUGGACACCCCUGAUCUACAGUGUACGACAGAUGUAAACACACAAACCUGAAAACACACAAAACAGCAGCAAGUUUAAAACACUGUAAACUGGCUCCAUAAAACAUUAGUCCUCCAGGCCAGCAGGGGGAGUCGAUCUGCUGGCCGUCAGUAAAGACGGGAUGUCCAGUAGAAAGUUGGAGGAAGAAGGAAAAUACUUCAUGUACAAUAUUACAGAACAGCAGAUUCUGUAACAACGUUAGCUACCAACCGCUAGAGUUGGUAGCUAACGUUGUUACUCUGUCUCCCCCUAGAGGCCUGGAGGACUAACGUUUGUGGAGCUAGCGUUUUCUUCUUGAUGCAGUUUUUGCUGUUUGAUUCAUUGUAGCCUUAUUUUAUUCUAACUGCAGUUUGGUUUGAUGUUCUUCUGAAGCACUGGACCAAACCACAGGAAAACGUAUUCCUUCAUAUGUUCUGUUGACAGUGACCCUGUAAUGCGCCGUAGAUAUCAGACCUGCGAUCAAAGCUGCAGAGAAAGAUUUUACACUGGAGCCCAAAACUCGACGGCCAUGAUGGCGAGAGGAGGAACAACUGCGGCAACGAAUAAAAUCAAAUGCUUGGUAUAAAGUUGAUGAGAGCUGCAGUAUGGUGCGAUUCAACAGGCCGAACAAUCAGCUGGUUAGGAGCUGUGUGUGUGUGUGUGUCGGGGUGUGUGUGUGUGUGUGUGAUGCAUCAGCAGCUGGCCGGUCUUGCCUGAAGCAUCAGCAGAUGCAGAGAAACUCAUUAGCAGGACUGAAAUGACACAAAGCAGAACGUGAGAGACAGAGGCUGCAGUGCUGAUGCACAGACUGCACAGCUUCAAAGGUCAGAGGUCACCCAGCUCUGUGACCCGCCUGGAGUCAGCCCUUUUCCUCUUCAGACGGACUCAUGAUGAUCCUGUUUGAUCUGCCAGCGGAUCUCAGGCAGCAUGUGGGAAAAAUGAACAAAGAUUUCCAAAAACAUUUGUAUUGAUAUCUGCUCUCCGGGUCAGAGGUCGCGUUAAAGAUUUUCCAUCUUUGACCAUUUUUAAAAAAAACACAGACAGAAAAAUCUGAAGGCGCUCUUUAGUUUUGAUAAUUACUUUUCACACCCCUCACCACUUUUUAACCCAGAGUUCAGGUCACUAAAUAAGAAACCAAGAUUCCCUUUGCAGCUUCGUCUCUGAAAUGGAAACGACUGAAUGAUCUGGCGAUGCGUGAGGACGCCGCAGCGAAGAGUUAAUAUGGCGGCUUUGCAGCUAAACCUCUGCUGUGGGAAGGCUGAUCAGGAAACGCCUUGUUUAGGUGCUUCAGCGGGAGAAACGUUCCCCGUUCUCAAAACUUUGGCUGAAGUGGUGCUUGUAAUUCCAGACCAGCAUCAAAACCUCAAAAAAGUCCACAACCUCAUGCUAACAACCUCAUGCUAACAACCUCUUGCUCUGCCAUCAUGUUCUGCAUCGAACUGAUGAAUGUGACGGGCGUCUGUGAGCAGCAAGCUGCUGUUCAGGUAGC